UACGUAGGGUGCGAGCGUUAAUCGGAAUUACUGGGCGUAAAGCGUGCGCAGGCGGUUUUGUAAGACAGGCGUGAAAUCCCCGGGCUUAACCUGGGAAUUGCGCUUGUGACUGCAAGGCUAGAGUGCGUCAGAGGGGGGUAGAAUUCCACGUGUAGCAGUGAAAUGCGUAGAGAUGUGGAGGAAUACCGAUGGCGAAGGCAGCCCCCUGGGACGUGACUGACGCUCAUGCACGAAAGCGUGGGGAGCAAACAGGAUUAGAUACCCCCGUAGUCC
rnacentral:rRNA from 1 species